rnacentral:rRNA from 1 species
UUAACAAAAACAUGGCCUUUUGAUUAUAAUUUAAGGUCUAAUCUGCCCACUGAAAAUUUAAAUGGCCGCGGUAUAUUGACCGUGCAAAGGUAGCAUAAUAAUUAGUUUCUUAAUUAGAAGCUGGAAUGAAAGAUUGAAUGAGAAAAUAACUGUCUCAAAUUAAAUUUUUUAGAAUUUUAUUUUUAAGUUAAAAAGCUUAAAUUAAGUUAAAAGACGAGAAGACCCUAUAGAGUUUUAUUUAAUUUAUUUUAAAUUAAAUAUAAAUUUUAAUAUUUUUUUAAUUUAAGUUAAAUUUUGUUGGGGAGAUAGAAAAAUUAAUUAAACUUUUUUUAUAUUUUUACAUUAAUUAAUGAUUGAUUGAUCCAAAUAUUUUGAUUAUAAGAUAAAAUUACCUUAGGGAUAACAGCGUAAUUUUUUUUGAGAGUUCUUAUCGAAAAAAAAGAUUGCGACCUCGAUGUUGGAUUAAAGUUUAAUUUUGGUGUAGAAGCUAAAAAUUUAGGUCUGUUCGACCUUUAAAACUUUACAUGAUCUGAGUUCAGACC